rnacentral:rRNA from 1 species
UACGAAGGGGGCUAGCGUUGCUCGGAAUCACUGGGCGUCAAGGGCGCGUAGGCGGCUUAUCAAGUCGGGGGUGAAAGCCCGUGGCUCAACCACGGAAUGGCCUUCGAUACUGGUAGGCUUGAGACCGGAAGAGGACAGCGGAACUGCGAGUGUAGAGGUGAAAUUCGUAGAUAUUCGCAAGAACACCAGUGGCGAAGGCGGCUGUCUGGUCCGGUUCUGACGCUGAGGCACGAAAGCGUGGGUAGCAAACAGG